CCUACGGGAGACAGCAGUAGGGAAUCUUUCACAAUGGGCGAAAGCCUGAUGGAGCAACGCCGCGUGCAGGAUGAAGGCCUUCGGGUUGUAAACUGCUUUUAUAAGCGAGAAAUAUGAUGGUAACUUAUGAAUAAGGAUCGGCUAACUACGUGCCAGCAGCCGCGGUCAUACGUAGGAUCCGAGCAUUAUCCGGAGUGACUGGGUGUAAAGAGUUGCGUAGGUGGCAUAAUAAGUAGCUAGUGAAAUCUGGUGGCUCAACCAUUCAGACUAUUAGCUAAACUGUUAAGCUCGAGACCGGUAGGGGUAACUGGAAUGUCUAGUGUAGGAGUGAAAUCCGUAGAUAUUAGAAGGAACACCAAUAGCGUAGGCAGGUUGCUGGGACGGUUCUGACACUAAGGCACGAAAGCGUAGGGAGCAAACGGGAUUAGAUACCCUAGUAGUC
rnacentral:rRNA from 1 species